GUACCACUGCAGAAACAGUCAACACUCCCAUGGAACUUAAGCUCUCUAUCCAUAACAUUAAAAGCCUUAAGAAACGCCUCUUUCAGAGUUUGAAAUAGUUCAGACUCUGUGUUCUCUGGUCUAGGUUCUUCCUCGGUAGAUACAAAAGAAGCAGCAUCUUCAGAGUUGUUGUUGGCACUAUUAUUAGCAGUCUUUAGAGAAGCUUCAACAGGUACUUUAGCUUCCCAAUAAGCACUUAACUUGAGAGGAAGAUUGUCUCUGACUCUCUUAGCAACCAUAUGACCAAAAGGACCAUGCCCAUCAAACACUCCACAGAACACUGUAUCCGUCCUCGAACCAAAACUCUGCAACACACAAAAUGAAAAACCUAUAAGAGAACCAUAAACAAAGAAGACUUAAUUUGUUUUUUUUCUAAACUAACCUCCCAAACAACCAUGGCGUCUUGGUUAGGCCCUUUCUUGCCUUGUUGAGUGAAGAUACAAGCGACCUCACUAGAUCCAUUCAAGAACAUACGACCGGGGACUCGAUGGAGAGGAUCAUCUCUCCUGGAGUCAAAGGAGGAGUUUCUGGAACCGCCAAGUCUCUUAUUCUUGGAGUUUUUUCUUUUUCUCACACCAAAGCCAGGAGAGCAAGGAGAGCCCGGUCUAGGACUCAUGCUCUCAGCAGAUAGACAGGACCCCAUUCUCAGGGCCCUGAUGAUAUUGAAAAGGCACUCCAGGACCAACUAGUUGUACAAUCACACACCCACGGUGGUCUUCACCAAAAGUGGCAAAUGAAGAUUCAGCUAUGGAAAUAAAAAAAUAAACCACUCUUUAUGAUCACCAGAAAGAGCAAAUAAUGAGUAAGGAAGGAAGAAGAAACAAACCUUUAUAUUAUUAGUACCAGCUACUUUCUGCAAGAACACAUAUAGAGAGAAUAAUAAUACAGAGCAGUGUGAAUCUUAAAAAAAAAAAAACAAAAUUGAAUAUAAAAAUGAAGCCUUUCAAAGCUGACCAAGAAAAAGGUAAGGUAUGACUUCUCUGGGUUGUCUCUUCAAAGAAGAAAGAAAAACACGUUUUUGUAAUCUCGCUUUCUUCUUACAAAAAAAAAAACAUUUUGUAGAGUAAUUUAAUACCCGAAAAAGUUUCUCUAUUGGCACCACACACACACACACACAAAAAGAAAAGAGAGACAGAGGUGUUUGUUUAUUUAUUCAUCAGAACACAUCAAAAGAGUGAUUGAGAAAGAGACUGCAAACACGAGAAACAUCACAACCGUUUCUCUCUCAUUUCUUCUUCGUCUGCAACCAAUCAAAAAAUAACAAUUACUGAGAAAAAUUAACACAUAAAAAAAACUUUUAAUCGAAUUGGAGCUGAAAAAGACACUCACCAGCAGACAGAUCAAUCAAUAGGUAAGUAGGGAGGAUCUCAGAAUCAGAUUCAAUCCAGGAAAAUUAACAAAAGAUAAGGAAGAUUGAUUCUGUUGGCGCGUAGAGAGGAACAGAAGAAUAGAAAACUGAGAGAGAGAGAAGAUGGUAAUUUUUAAAAGGAGAAAGAAACGCAACCACCCAGCUACAAACUCGUUCUUUCUUCUUCAGCUUUCUACUUUUUAUGUGUAGAGAGAGAAAGAAAGUUAUAAACAGAGCAAUAGAGUUUAUUGAUUUUUUUUUUUCCAUAGAGAUUGGGUUUAUUAUUAUAUAAAUAUUUUUUUGAGGCUUUCCUACACACAAUAAAAAGAAUAUCCAUUCAAAUAUAUAAUAAGGUCUCUCGAUCAGUCAAUCAUCACAUGAAAGUGAGAGAUUAUCAGAUUUAAUCCAUUAACAUUAUAAAAUAUGGACUAUACUGCUUCUCUCAAUCCAACUAAGAUUAAGAUUAGAAGAAUCAAAAACUGGUUUAUCAUUUACAGUACUAAACUACUUCUUUGGUCAGCUUAAUCAUUACUAUUUUUAAAGUUAAUCAUGUUUAUGAUAAGUAUACUUUUAUUUAACAAAAGUACGCGGUUGUUAUGAAAAAAAAUGACUGUUUAACGAGGAUAAAAAUCAAAAUAUAUAAAAUAUUUCAUUUUGUAAGAAUUAUGGUGGAUAAAAUGGUACUACUAUCGUUGUAUUUAAUUUGAUUGGAAUGACAGAAGGGAACAAACUCUCAGCUGUGGAACCCAGAAGAAGGGUCACUAAACACAUGCAUGCACACAAGAACUCAAUACACAUGUCGGCAACGAGGCGCAGAUUCCAACACGUUAUCAAACUUCUUCUCAUGCAAGCAGAUCUGCAGAUCAACGUUUUUUGAACAAGAAGACAACCUCUGUUUGUGUUUAUUUUCUCUAUCUCUCUCAUGAAAUCCAAAAUCAUUUUUGACUUUUGCAGUCUCAUCUUCUUCCCAUCUCAAUCAGAUAAUCCAACUCUUUUUUUGGAUAAUAUCAGUGAUUAACUUCAUUUGGAUAUCAAGCUAAUCUAAAUAACUAAUCAGUAUAGCUAAGGUCCAUAAUGUUGUAUAUCCAAUUACUGUAGCUAAAUUGUAGUUGAAAUUAUCAGAAUGAGAUUAGUCGUUAAUUUAACUAUUAAUUUUUAUUUUUAUUUGGAUCAAAUUUCAACUAUUAAUUUUACUGUAGAUUAAUUACUGAUCAAACAAAAUCAAAUCUGGUCGGUUAUCUAUCUACUAAAAUAAUCAUAUCUCAACCAGAUCUAAUCAAAAUUCCUUUCCUCUAAAUAGUAAAAAUACCAAGGCAUCAUCAUCAACAUCAAAAUCUCCUACUUUUUUAUCUUCAAGAACAACAAUCACAAGAUUUUGAGUCAUCAUCAGAAUUGUAUAAACUAGAUAUAAAAAUAAAAAUACAACACAAUGUGUUUCAUUUUCAAGACAACUCAGAGACGUUUCAACAAUUCAGCAACGAAACUGUCUCUAGAAACACCUUUAACUUCCUCCUCACUCCACUCGACCAUCUUCUUCAAUGUCACAACACCUUUACUGAGUUCUGUGUUGCCUACAAUCACCAUCCAAGGAAUCUCUGAACCCUUGCAACGAGCACGAUCAAAAUGUUUUCCUCUCCUUUGGUCACAAUAUACUGACUAGCCAGUUCUGCAGCUUCCCCUAGCUUAUUCUCCUCCGUUACACUAACCAAAACCUGUGUCUCUGUAGAUAGAACAACCUCCAAUUCAUACCAAAACAAAAAAUAAAAGUUAGAAAAAACAAAAUCUUAGGACAGUAAGAAAAAAAGAUUGAGAAGUAAGUUUUUACUCGUUUUUGUUCCUCUUCCAGUUUUUGUCACUUUUCCAAUAUAUUAAACACUCGCUCGAUCCCCAGGCUCAUGCCAACCGCAGGGACUUGCUUUGCUCCAAACAUUCCUAUAAGGUUAUCAAUUUUGAUGAUGUCCUUGUCACAAAACUCAACUUAACUUCUUCACUUUCCAGGCACAAAUCUUGGUAAGUUCAAAAGUGUAUUAACUCUUGCAACACCUUCUAGUGCAGAAUACUCUGUUCCAUGUUCUGUAUCCUCUUCUUUUAUCAGCUUCUCAGCUUCACUUUAGUCUAGAGCAAUAUCUUUCCCUGUUCUGACAGUACUAGACCUGCCUAGACCGCUUGGACCUGAUCCAUCAUCAAUCUCAUCUCCAUCUUCAAGUUUGGAGAAGGAAGAAGCUGUAGAUAUGGCGUUUGAGCCAUUGGAGUUUAGAUACAAGCAGACCGCAGCACAGUCAUCGACUUUGGAGGUUGGGUACUUGUGUCUCCACGCUCUAACCGCAGUCUCAACUAAAGCUCUUGCUGCAGAGGAACGUGAUGGUGCUGAAGCUACAAUCUUCACUACUUCCUCAUUUGAGAGUACAUCCCAAAUCUAUCACACAAAAACAUUAGAAACUGAGCCAAGAAAAUGGAUAGAGAAAAGGAAUGUUUAUGCUCUUAUCAAUUACCCCAUCUGUAGCCAACACUAUGAACUCAUCUUUUUCGGUUAAUCGGCGAAAUGAAACCUCAGGGACAGAGAUUAGACCAAAGUCUUUAAGGCAAAAGUCUCCGAAAGCACGUGCCAUUGCAAGACCAGGCGAGUCACAGUUUGGGAGCCAGACUCUACAAACAUCAGGCUCAUCUCUAAGAGCAAACACACGUCCUCUACACUUCUUUAUUCUCUCCUCCUCAGCUGCAAAAAUCAAGCAAUCAGCACAACUUCAACAAUGAGAUCCAUCAUAAGUUCUUUGUUAUCAUUCAAACCUGGUAGAUUUGGCUUGAGAUCCACAGUUAGUUGAACAGCAACAAGACCAUUUUUACCGUCUCUUGUCCCCAUCACAGCUCUAGAGUCUCCAACGUUUCCAACAACGAGAUACUCACCCUACCAUAAAGCAUAGAAUAUAUAAUAAAAACCAAGAAACAGUGAACCACACUACCAAGCCGAGAGAGUACCUGUUUGAUCAAAGUCACAGCCGUUGUACCACUGCAGAAACAGUCAACACUCCCAUGGAACUUAAGCUCUCUAUCCAUAACAUUAAAAGCCUUAAGAAACGCCUCUUUCAGAGUUUGAAAUAGUUCAGACUCUGUGUUCUCUGGUCUAGGUUCUUCCUCGGUAGAUACAAAAGAAGCAGCAUCUUCAGAGUUGUUGUUGGCACUAUUAUUAGCAGUCUUUAGAGAAGCUUCAACAGGUACUUUAGCUUCCCAAUAAGCACUUAACUUGAGAGGAAGAUUGUCUCUGACUCUCUUAGCAACCAUAUGACCAAAAGGACCAUGCCCAUCAAACACUCCACAGAACACUGUAUCCGUCCUCGAA
rnacentral:lncRNA from 1 species